CAGGGGAUUGCCUCAGUAACGGCGAGUGAAGCGGCAACAGCUCAGAUUUGAAAUCUGGCCCCGGUCUGGGGUCCGAGUUGUAGUCUGUAGAGGAUGCUUCGGGGGUGGACCGGGUCUAAGUUCCUUGGAACAGGGCGUCAGAGAGGGUGAGAGUCCCGUCUGUGGCCUGUGCCUCUGUCCCCAGGUGAAGCUCCCUCGACGAGUCGAGUUGUUUGGGAAUGCAGCUCAAAUCGGGUGGUAAAUCUCACCUAAAGCUAAAUACUGGCCGGAGACCGAUAGCGCACAAGUAGAGUGAUCGAAAGAUGAAAAGCACUUUGAAAAGAGAGUUAAACAGCACGUGAAAUUGUUGAAAGGGAAGCGCUCGCGAUCAGACUUGACCGUGGCCCCUCAGUCUGACGGUCCCCACCGUCGGCGCACUGGGCCACGGGCAGGCCAGCAUCGGUUCCGGCGGCAGAAGGAAGAUGCCGGGAAUGUGGCUCCCCUCGGGGUGCGUUAUAGCCUGGUGUGUCACGCUGUCGCCGGGGCCGAGGUCCGCGCUCCGGCAAGGAUGCUGGCGUAAUGAUCGCCAGCGACCCGUCUUGAAACACGGACCAAGGAGUCUAACAUCCACGCGAGUGUUUGGGCGUGAAAACCCCGACGCGCAAUGAAAGUGAACGGAGGUGGGACCCCGCAGGGGUGCACCAUCGACCGAUCCUGAAGUCUUCGGAUGGAUUUGAGUACGAGCGUGGCUGUUGGGACCCGAAAGAUGGUGAACUAUGCCUGAAUAGGGUGAAGCCAGAGGAAACUCUGGUGGAGGCUCGCAGCGGUUCUGACGUGCAAAUCGAUCGUCAAAUUUGGGUAUAGGGGCGAAAGACUAAUCGAACCAUCUAGUAGCUGGUUCCUGCCGAAGUUUCCCUCAGGAUAGCAGUAACGCGUGGCAGUUUUAUGAGGUAAAGCGAAUGAUUAGAGGCCUUGGGGUUGAAACAACCUUAACCUAUUCUCAAACUUUGAAUAUGUAAGAAGUCCUUGUUGCUUAGUUGAACGUGGACAUUCGAAUGUACCGUUACUAGUGGGCCAUUUUUGGUAAGCAGAACUGGCGAUGCGGGAUGAACCGAACGCGGGGUUAAGGUGCCGGAAUGCACGCUCAUCAGACACCACAAAAGGUGUUGGUUCAUCUAGACAGCAGGACGGUGGCCAUGGAAGUCGGAACCCGCUAAGGAGUGUGUAACAACCCACCUGCCGAAUGAACUAGCCCUGAAAAUGGAUGGCGCUCAAGCGUGCUACCCAUACCCCGCCGCCAGGGCAGGAACGAUGCCCUGGCGAGUAGGCAGGCGUGGGGGUCCGUGACGAAGCCUUGGGAGUGACCCC
rnacentral:rRNA from 1 species